rnacentral:rRNA from 1 species
GACGAACGCUGGCGGCGUGCUUAACACAUGCAAGUCGAACGGAAAGGCCCUGCUUUUGUGCGGUGCUCGAGUGGCGAACGGGUGAGUAACACGUGAGUAACCUGCCCUUGACUUUGGGAUAACUUCAGGAAACUGGGGCUAAUACCGGAUAGGAGCUCCUGCUGCAUGGUGGGGGUUGGAAAGUUUCGGCGGUUGGGGAUGGACUCGCGGCUUAUCAGCUUGUUGGUGGGGUAGUGGCUUACCAAGGCUUUGACGGGUAGCCGGCCUGAGAGGGUGACCGGCCACAUUGGGACUGAGAUACGGCCCAGACUCCUACGUGAGGCAGCGGUGGGGAAUAUUGCACAAUGGGCGGGAGCCUGAUGCGGCAACGCCGCGUUCGGGAUGACGGCCUUCGGGUUGUGAACCGCUUUCGCCUGAGACGAAGCGUGAGUGACGGUAAUGGGUGAAGAAGCACCGGCUAACUACGUG